CCUCCUGAUGGACGACACUGCCAGCCUGCUGAUCAAUACAACUUCACAGCUUGUCCUAGGACAACAACCUCUCCCCCACCUACAACUCCUCCAGUUUUUUAUGAAUACAUAAUUUCUGUUGAGUUAAACACCACUAAUGUUACGCUAAUAAAUCAACUGAGGACCGUUCUGAGAAGCAUCCGUUACCCCUUCAGCAUCAACAACCACAUACAAAUCUCUGAGGCCAACAUUUCUACAGUGUGCUCUCCUAGCAGUGGUGGUUACCAGUGUUUAUGUGAGGAUCAGUAUCGUUGGUCAUGUGACCAGUGUUUCCUGUAUGGAUCCUGUGACAACAUCACUGAUGACACCUGUGGAUGUAUCAAUGCCCUUCCUCCUGAUGGACGACACUGCCAGCCUGCUGAUCAAUACAACUUCACAGCUUGUCCUAGGACAACAACCUCUCCCCCACCUACAAGUA